AAAAAAGCAGGAAGAGAAUUUUAUAUUACCAGUAUUUUCCCCAGAUUAUCUGUACUGUACAAUGGAAAAACCACAUGUGGGUAAUCAGUACUUAAAAUGUGUUGGUCCAUAUUAUGAUGUACCAUAGGCAUAAAAUACACUCUGCAUUUCAAAGACAGUAUAAAAACAAACUUAUUAUAAUCCCUCAUUAAUAACUCAAAGAAUAAUAUUUAGUUAUGUUGAGCUAAAAAAAUACAGCACUAAGAUUAAUUCUAAGACAGGUACUGUGGGGAUCACACUUGUAAUCCUAGCUACUUGGGAGGCUGAGAUUAGGAAAACUGCAGAUCCUGGCCAGCAACAGCAGAAAGUUGACCUUAUUCCACCUCAACCAGUGAAAGGCUGAGCAUGGAUCAUGCACUCUGCCACCU